rnacentral:lncRNA from 1 species
CUGUGCAAACUAAUCAGCAAAAAACAAACGGACAAACAAAUUGGCAGAGCCGCUCAUUCCCUUCUUCCUCUCACGCUGAAGACAGAUGCUGCGUUCUGCAGUUCAGAUCCGCCCACACUCUCCGACCAUCUGCGCCCGGCGUGGUCGGCGUGCCACCCACACUGCCUGCCAUGGCCCUCGUGCUGCAAGACGUGCAGGGGGCGCCGGCACCACCAUGGAUCCCACGGCCGCCGGCGGCUGGAAGAGGGAUGGAGGGAGUCCGAUGCAGGCUGUAGCGGCACGGCAGCUCGGUCCCUCGCCUUUAGCUGUGCUGACGGCUCGGAGAGGCAGAGGAAGAGGGAGGGGGAGAG